rnacentral:rRNA from 1 species
CUAAACCGUGGAAUUGCAUCUGAAACUGCGUAGCUAGAGUUCGGGAGAGGGCGGCGGAACUCCCGGUGUAGGGGUGAAAUCCGUAGAUAUCGGGAGGAACACCAGAGGCGAAGGCGGCCGCCUGGACCGAAACUGACGCUGAGGCGCGAAAGCGUGGGUAGCAAACAGGAUUAGAUACCCUGGUAGUCCACGCUGUAAACGUUGUGCACUAGAUGCCGGCGGCACUCCGGUGCUGUCGGUGUCCAAGUUAACGCGAUAAGUGCACCGCCUGGGGACUACGGCCGCAAGGCUAAAACUCAAAGGAAUUGACGGGGGCCCGCACAACCGGUGGAGCAUGUGGCUUAAUUCGAGGCUACGCGAAGAACCUUACCCGGGUUUGACAUAUAUCCGCCCGCCUGUGAAAUCAGGUUUUCUCUUCGGAGACGG